rnacentral:rRNA from 1 species
GACGAACCGUGCGAACGUUAUUCGGAAUCACUGGGCUUAAAGCGCGUGUAGGCGGGCCGGCACGUCGGUCGCUGAAAUCCCCCGGCUCAACCGGGGAAGGGGCGCCGAUACGACCGGCCUGGAGGGGGGUAGGGGAAUCGGGAACUUCCGGUGGAGCGGUGAAAUGCGUUGAGAUCGGAAGGAACGCCCGUGGCGAAAGCGCGGUUCUGGACCCCACCUG